rnacentral:lncRNA from 1 species
AUGAGCAAAUACAAGUUUGUUCUUUGUAUUAACAAUGAGAAAAUGAUUUUCUUAAAACCAAACAAAGUAUUGUCUGGACAAAUGUCGGUGUGUUGGAUUAUGUUCCUAAACCAUCAAACAGUAGAUGUACUUCACGUUGCAGUUUUUCAAAGAUCCAUUGAGGAUUCAAGAAAGCCUGCAGGAACUCAAUCCCAGAGGAAAAAGAAUGAAUUUUAAAAGCUCAUCCUACUGAUGUUUCAGACCAGUUGAUUGUGAGGUGCCUAAAGGCAUGCAGGAGAGAAAGCUGUCCAGGCAGAUUAAAACACAGGCCUCAAGGCUCCAGAGGGAGGCACGUAGUUGAGCACCCCAUGGCUCCACAGUAAAAGAGAGCAGAAUCAACCACACUCUGUCUGGACCACCGGGACUCAGAAUUCCUCACUCAAAACCAGACAAUCUGGGAAGGCUCCUGCAAAGUUUCAUGGUUAAUGACUGACAAGCACAUUAACAUUUAUACACAGAAUUCUGUGACCCUUGGCAGACCCUUCACAAGGUGAAGGUCACCUCCUCUCUUACCAUGGUUUUCUUUAUUCCCUCUAUUUUAAAAAAUUGUGAGAUUUGUCACAUUCACAGAAUAAGUGAACAAGAAUACAUAUCAAUAGUUUAAAACAUUAUUAUAAAGUGAAUAUAUGUGUAACCACAACCCAGAUCAAGAAAUACUACACAACCAGCACCCCCAGAACAUCCUUCCCAAUGCCAGCCUCUUCUUCUGUCCCCUCAGGAAGCCACUUCCUGGAUUUUUCAGAAGUCACCCCCUGGCCUUUCUUUAUGCUUGCAUUCCUAAACAAUACAGCUCAUUUUGCAUUUCAUAAAAAUGGGAUCAUACUGUUUGCAUUUUUGGUGCCUGAUUCUUUUGCUCCACAAUAUGUUGGUAUGAUUCAUUCGUGACAUUUUGUGCAGCUAUAUUUGGCUUAUUUUUUUUUGCUAUCAAUGGUUAAGAACAGGGACUCUAGAGCCAGACUGCCCAGGGUUAAAUCCCAGCUCUAUCACUUUUCAGAUGGGUUACCUUCUGCAAGUUCUUUCCUCUCUCUGUACCUUCAUUUUCAUUUACCUGGAAUUGAUUGUAGGGUAUGGUAU